UUCAAAUUUUCUCCAUGUAAUCGUAAAAUUCAUAUUAUAUUGAAUUUAUAGGGGCCCCAGUCUGAAAUUUCAUCCCUGUUUGCCAGGCUGAAAUUUCAUCCCGGGCUGAAAACAUCCACGUAAUCGGCCCUUAUUUUAACUAAAGACAAAACUUAGCACAGUUAUAUUUUCGCUAAGCUAUAAAAGAAGGAUGACUUCGAAAUUAUUUUCAGUUUUUUUUAAUUGUUAGUUUGCAUGUGGUUAGGCUGAACAUGCUCAGAGACAGAGAAAUUGUGUUCUCAAUUAAACUCAUUAAUAAUUUAUAAACCGAAAACAAAAGAAAUUAAUGUUUAAUCAUGGGCGUACCGGAAGGAAAAAAUUAGGGGGGCGGAAAGAAAUUUGCCCGACUUUUUCGGAUUGUGCCCGACCAGUGCCGAAAAAAUUUUUUCCUUAACAAAUUAAUUUUGGCGAACUCCCCCCCGUUUCGGUCAGUGUAUCAUUUUAGGGGUCCAAAAAUUUUUCGGAACAUCAUACAAAUUUUCAACACAUCACAAAAUUGACCACAAAAUUGACGGAAUUUCCCACAAAAUUGACAGAAUUUGUCCCAUUUAUUUUUAUAAUAAGCCAAUAUUGCCCGACUGCAUGUGGAGCGAAUAUUGCCCGACUGACUUUGUUUGCCCAACAAACUGGGGGGGGGGGCUGCCGCCCACCCCGGUACGCCCAUGUGUUUAAUCAGUGUUUUGAAACUGGAAGAAAACUAUCUUCAAAGCAGGUGGAGGAUUUGAAAUCUCCCAGGGUCAGCGGGCCUGAUUAAGUAUUCAUUUUCAAACUACUAGUAGUUUGAAAUUUUUCAAGGUACUAGUAGUUUGAAAUUUUUCAAGGUACUAGUAUUUUUAAAUUUUUCAAGGAACUAGUGCACUGGAAUUAAUUUAAGGUACAGAAUAUUGUUCUGCCAUUAACAAAACUACAAAGCAAAAUUAAAC